AUUAUUCCCUGAAGAAGGCAUAAAAGAUGUCAUUGAAUAAAUAUGAAGCUACGCCGUCGCUAACAGGAACCCUUCCUGUGACGCCCGUGGUAUUUAUCACAUGAUUAGUGAAAACGAAAGUAGGUAUACAGCAUACACAUCAAAAACAGGUCAUGCCUAAGAAAAAAAAGGUCAAAGAGCUUCAGCCAAAGAGGAACCUACCGGUGUCUGGAAAUGCUAACACGGCGGAGAUGGUCCCGGAGUUGGAUGAGAAAUCAUUACAGAAAAUGAAGGAGAAAAUGGUUAAGGAACAGCCCGAGUUAAAGCAUUUGUUUGGAUACAUGGAAAAAAUUACGAGAGAAAGUACUGCACAAGCACAAAAUUCGUCUAUAGUUUUUAGGAAUAAAAGAGGUAAAUUAAAAGGCAGUUAUAAUUACUAAUCUC
rnacentral:lncRNA from 1 species